UACGGAGGGGGCUAGCGUUGUUCGGAAUUACUGGGCGUAAAGCGCACGUAGGCGGCUUUGUAAGUUAGAGGUAAAAGCCCGGGGCUCAACCCCGGAAUUGCCUUUAAGACUGCAUCGCUAGAAUUGUGGAGAGGUAAGUGGAAUUCCGAGUGUAGAGGUGAAAUUCGUAGAUAUUCGGAAGAACACCAGUGGCGAAGGCGACUUACUGGACACAUAUUGACGCUGAGGUGCGAAAGCGUGGGGAGCAAACAGG
rnacentral:rRNA from 1 species